AAUAUUCAUUAAGAUUGCCUUUCGACCUUGUUAAGUUAAUCUUGUCAACUUGCUGUUUUCCUGUUUAACCUGAGAGGUAACUCAAGGGUCAUAAGGAUUUAUGAGCUUGUUUUACAGAAGAAAGAGAACACCUUCAAGCAUCACCAGAUAACCAUUCCCCAGCUGCCAUAGAUGUCUAGAAGUCAGAUUGCCCAGGGGCUUGUCGGGAGUAAAAGGAACACAGAUUACCCCUCUGUUUCUCUGAAACUCCUCCUGCCACACCCCUUAGCUCUAUAAAACCCCCUGCUUUCUUAUCUUGUUAAGGUGGAUUUGAGAGAACCCAUGCUCCCGCCUUCUCACCUUGGCCAAUUCAAAUAAACCCUUCUCCAUCUCCAAGCACCCAUUUCUCAGUGUUUGGCUUACUGUGCGUGGGGCACACCAACUUGAGAUCAACAGGUUCAGUAUCAGUGGUAACGUCUGCUUCUUUCUUAUCACCCAGCCCUCUGCCCGGGUGCUUAGACAACCUGGAGGGACAAGGCUCCUGUGCUGCAGACUCUCUUUUCCCACCUAGGGCCCUUCCUGAAAACUCCAAGUCACAAGACCAGACUCUUAGAGCUUAAAGGGGCCUCGAGACAAGGAAACCGAGGCUAAUGCAAGCCCAGCUCUUACUUCUCCAGAAGUCAGGAAGUUGCUCCCACCUGUGAGUGUCCUGGCAAGUCCCUGCUUCCGCAAGAUGCGUGGAGAGUCGGGCAGUGCAGUCAGCGUACCUGAGGAAUGUUGCAGCAGUUCAAGAGCAGAAGGGCAAUGCUAGAGAGAAAACAGGACGGCCAGCUUUAAAUCAAAGCGAGUAGAUCGAGCCCUUACUCAGUAACCAUUUUGUUACCACCACACCUACCCUGCAAGAAAUGCUAGGGGAGUCCUUCAGGUUGAAAUGUAAGGAUACUAGACAGCAAUUCAAAGCCAUAUGAAGAAAUAAAGAUCUCUGGAAAAGUGAAGAGACAUACACUAUCAGCUGCUGCCUCUUGAACUGAUGGAGCCAUGCAAACUGAAAUCUAUAUUAUGAUUACGUGUAACAUAAAGACAGGCAAGAUAUUUCUGCUUACGUUGGUGCUUACAUAGUACUUACUUACUGUUUUGGAUAUGAAACGGUUAAGCAGGCAUCCCC